GUGUGUGUGUGUGCGCGCGUGUGUGUGUGUGUGUGUGUAUGUGUGUGUGUGUGUGUACUUACAUAGGUGCGUUUGUGGCAUUACAUGAGUCUUUUUGAUUGUAUUUAAUAGCCAAGUUAUGAACAUACUGGUGUGUUACUAUGUGUGUGCUUGAGGUUAUAUGGGUAUAUAUGAAUGUGUAUAUGUUAUGAUAAUAUCUGUGUGUUGUGUGUGUGUGUGAGUGUGUGUGCGCGUACACGUGUGCAUAUAGGUCUGCAUGUCUGCAUAAAAGUUCUGAAUACGCAUGUGUCCGCAGCCUCUACAUCCAGCAGCAUGAGGACAGCACAGCUCUCGCCUCUUUCCAGUGAUGGCUGCUGAAGCCACAGCCUCUGAGCCUCUCCGAGGGGAAAGAUCUGAAGAAGGGCCUGCCGUGUCGCUGCCCAGGGCCGGGCGUGCCUCCAGAAGCCACAGCACAACUCCUGCUCAGCCUGGAGGAAACUGGACUGUCUGGGGUCUGGCACCCGAAUAAGGAACCACUGGCCUAACAAGACCCAGAUGACCAUGUUGAUAAAACGGAGCUGGUAAUUUCAGGCAAAAAUCUCAAAUCUCAUUAAUGGUGCCAUGAGCUAAAGGGGAAAGACAGGCUCCCUGGUGUGCAGAUGAGACUGAGCCGAGAAACUGCCUCUUCUGUGCUCCCAGCAGUCCGAACACAGGGAAUCAUAUCAUGGGAAGAAAUAAAGGCUCAGUGGAUUAAAAUGUUCUCCAUCGCAUCUAUAGGGGAGAUAAACAGGACAAACCCUGGACUGCAGAUUAGUGUUUUAAACUGAAAGUUGGCACGAGGCUGUGUUCGACUACAAAAGCUGUCACCGUCAUUAGCUUUUGUGAUAAUGCAGUUACUGUCUACUUGAUGGCUAAAUACAUUAAAGAGUUUAUAAUCAUGAAAUACAACGAUCCUCAAUUUAUUUGGCUUCACACAUUCAGUGAACUGGUGUGGUGAUUCUGUGGUUAGAUUCACACAGAAAAUACUCUUUGGUUCUAAGGUGCGGUGUGGCUGCUCAUUCACACAUCAUCUCCGGGGGCAACAGUGGAUUAGAACUUUGAAAGCCAGGGCAGCCUGUGUGGGAAUACUGCAGAUCAGAUGCACACAGGAAGUGUUGUUGCUACUCAUUCACACUCCAUACCUUGUUCUAGCAGUGGUUUAUGGCAUGUACAGGCCAGACCAAUGUUCAUGGGAAUACAGCAGAUCAGAUACACACAGGAAGUCCAUCUGACCCAGCUCAGCAGUGUGUUGUUGCAACUCGUUCACACUGCGUCUCCAGGGCCGUAGUUGGCCUUCACCAACGGGUGUGAAGUGACCCCAGGAGGGCCACAGCGGGGUCACAUGCAUUUGGCCCCUGUGUGGCGUAACCUGUAGAGGAAAAUAACUGUGGAAGCUCUCUGUUUGCUCUGGCCGUCUGCUCACUCCCAGCACAAAGCCCACUGGAACUUUAACCUACGGUGUCUGUGGACCGUAGAAGAAAACAGAAACACACACAAAAGAGAUAUUAUGGCCACAUUGUGUGAAGGGAGGGUGUAAUGUACACCAUUCAAGGGGG
ensembl:lncRNA